ACAGAAGUACAUUUAGUACUUAAUCCUAACUUUUCCUCAAUAAUUACAAGGAAUUGCCAUUGAUCAAUAUUAAUACACGGUCGUUUUAUAUCAUUGAAAAAUCAGCUAAUUAAGUUUGACCCGUCUUAACCUGAAAUAACUCGAGACCAAACCUAAUCUUGUGUGUUUCUUUGUUGUAAACGAGACAAACCCUAGAAGAAAACUUACAUGAUGAAGAUUCUCAAUUUUCGUCAACAGCGGUGGAAUCAGAUGGAGAUUUAAGAACCGAAAGUCUAGAUCUUUGUUGAAGAAGGUGGUGAUCUGAUGAUAUCGUAAUCACAGAGUUUCCUUCUCCGUCGAUACCAUUCACUAAACGGUUUUACGUCUAGGAGAUUUGGAGGAGCAGGAACAUGUUCUCCCCGUAGGGACUGAAGUUUUUCGAGGUCUUCGACUCUUUUUAUGGAGCAACAUUUGUGCUACUGGUCUGUAACUUUACAAUCAGGAUUAUCAUUGAGAAUUUGUAUUUGAGCAGCUAUUCUUGAAAUAUAAGGAUCCUAUAUGAUUGCUGAACAUUUUUUUUUAUAAUUUGGGCUGUCAGGAUUCCAAUCAGGAUUUUUGUAAUUUAAAUAAAGAUUGGUGGAUAGGAAUUGACGCA